CCUACGGGUGGCAGCAGUGAGGAAUAUUGGUCAAUGGACGAGAGUCUGAACCAGCCAAGUCGCGUGAAGUAUGACUGCCCUAUGGGUUGUAAACUUCUUUUAUAAGGGAAUAAAACGAGGCACGUGUGCCUUUUUGCAUGUACUUUAUGAAUAAGGAUCGGCUAACUCCGUGCCAGCAGCCGCGGUAAUACGGAGGAUCCGAGCGUUAUCCGGAUUUAUUGGGUGUAAAGGGAGCGUAGAUGGGUUGUUAAGUCAGUUGUGAAAGUUGGGGGCUCAACCGUAAAAUGGCAAUUGAUACUGGCAGACUUGAGUACAGUUGAGGUAGGCGGAAUUCGUGGUGUAGCGGUGAAAUGCGUAGAUAUCACGAAGAACCCUGAUGGCGAAGGCAGCUUACUAAACUGUGACUGACAUUGAUGCUCGAAAGUGUGGGUAGCAAACAGGAUUAGAUACCCCAGUAGUC
rnacentral:rRNA from 1 species